rnacentral:rRNA from 1 species
GACGAACGCUGGCGGCGUGCCUAAUACAUGCAAGUCGAACGCAGUGGGGCCGGGUGAGUAACACGUGGGUAACCUCCCCAUCAGAGGGGAUAACACUUGGAAACAGGUGCUAAACCGAUACUGAUGGAUGGACCCGCUGUGCAUUAGCUAGUUGGUGAGGUAACGGCUCACCAAGGCAACGGUGAAUAGCGGACCUGAGAGGGGGAUCGGCAACACUGGGAAGGAGACACGGCCAAGACUACUACGGGAGGCAGCAGUAGGGAAUCUUCGGCAAUGGACGAAAGUCGGACCGAGCAAAGCCGCGUGAGUGAAGAAGGUUUUCGGAUCGUAAAACUCUGUUGUUAGAGAAGCGGUAUCUAACCAGAAAGCCACGGCUAACUACGUGCCAGCCGCCGCGGUAAUUC